UGUGCUUCAUUCUGUGGAUCUGACAUGCCUU
rnacentral:piRNA from 1 species